UACAGAGGUCUCAAGCGUUGUUCGGAUUCAUUGGGCGUAAAGGGUGCGUAGGUGGUGGGGUAAGUCGGAUGUGAAAUCUCGGAGCUCAACUCCGAAAUGGCAUUGGAAACUACCCUGCUGGAGGUUUGGAGGGGGGACUGGAAUACUUGGUGUAGCAGUGAAAUGCGUAGAUAUCAAGUGGAACACCAGUGGCGAAGGCGAGUCCCUGGACAAAACCUGACACUGAGGCACGAAAGCUAGGGAAGCAAACAGG
rnacentral:rRNA from 1 species